AACUCCAUAGGUUAAGUAAACUUCAUAGAUUGCUACUAUGAGAUAGGGGGUUG
rnacentral:tRNA from 1 species